rnacentral:rRNA from 1 species
CAGCAGCCGCGGGAAUACGAAGGGUGCAAGCGUUAAUCGGAAUUACUGGGCGUAAAGCGUGCGUAGGCGGUGAGUUAAGUCUGCUGUGAAAUCCCCGGGCUUAACCUGGGAAUGGCAGUGGAUACUGGCUCGCUAGAGUGUGUCAGAGGAUGGUGGAAUUCCCGGUGUAGCGGUGAAAUGCGUAGAGAUCGGAAGGAACAUCUGUGGCGAAGGCGACUAUCUGGGCCAACACUGACACUGAGGCACGAAAGCGUGGGGAGCAAACAGGAUUAGAUACCCCCGUAGUCCCUGUCUCUUAUAC